GCGCACCAGGCGCGAAACCUCCGCAAUGCGGGAAACCGCGACGGGGGACCCCGAGUGCCGUGGCAACGCCACGGCUUUUCCGGAGUGUAAAAAGCUCCGGGAAUAAGGGCUGGGCAAGGCCGGUGGCAGCCGCCGCGGUAAUACCGGCGGCCCGAGUGGUGGCCGCUAUUAUUGGGCCUAAAGCGUCCGUAGCCGGGCCCGUAAGUCCCUGGCGAAAUCCCACGGCUCAACCGUGGGGCUUGCUGGGGAUACUGCGGGUCUUGGGAUCGGGAGAGGCGGGGGGUACCCCUGGGGUAGGGGUGAAAUCCUAUAAUCCCAGGGGGACCGCCAGUGGCGAAGGCGCCCCGCUGGAACGGGUCCGACGGUGAGGGACGAAGGCCAGGGGAGCAAACC
rnacentral:rRNA from 1 species